UACAGAGGUGCCAAGCGUUAGGCGGAAUCACUGGGCUUAAAGCGCGCGUAGGCGGAUCUUUAAGUCAGGGGUGAAAUCCUGGAGCUCAACUCCAGAACUGCCUUUGAUACUGGCGAUCUUGAGUCCGGGAGAGGUGAGUGGAACUGCGAGUGUAGAGGUGAAAUUCGUAGAUAUUCGCAAGAACACCAGUGGCGAAGGCGGCUCACUGGCCCGGUACUGACGCUGAGGUGCGAAAGCGUGGGGAGCAAACAGG
rnacentral:rRNA from 1 species